UUGCUUUGGCAGCAUAUAUACUAAAAUUGAAAUGAAAAUAUGGCCUCUGUGCAAGGAUGACACACAAAUAUUCGUGGAGUAUUCCAUAUUUUC
rnacentral:snRNA from 1 species